UACGAAGGGUGCUAGCGUUGUUCGGAAUCACUGGGCGUAAAGCGCGCGUAGGCGGCUUUACAAGUCAGGGGUGAAAUCCCACAGCUUAACUGUGGAACUGCCUUUGAAACUGUAAAGCUAGAGUGUCGGAGGGGAUAGCGGAAUUGCUAAUGUAGAGGUGAAAUUCGUAGAUAUUAGCAGGAACACCGGUGGCGAAGGCGGCUAUCUGGACGACAACUGACGCUGAGGCGCGAAAGCGUGGGGAUCAAACAGG
rnacentral:rRNA from 1 species